ACUUCCUUUUCUUUUCUUCUUCCUCCGGUUUCGCACGCCUGAUCUCUCCCUCUCCCUUUCUUUCCUCUUCCUUUCUUUUCUCCCUUCCUCACGCAGCACCUCUCCCAUUUCUCCCUUUAUCCUUUCACUCUAUACCCACAACAAACCGAGAGUGAGAGAUGAAUCGAGAGAGAGAACCCGAGUGUGGAGGGUGGUUUUUGGCCAGUGGGGGUGCGAUUUUUGGAGCUUUGGUGGCUGGGUCACUAUCGGGGGAUGGAGGCAGCAGCUAGGACCAUGAAUUCCGGCCCUAAUCCGGAUAGUGUCCGGAUUUGAGACUUCAAUGGGUUCUCCAAUGUAGAGUUCGAGUCAUGCGUCCAAUGCAGUCCAGUGUCGGUGUGAUCCAGAGAAGGACCAGAGAGGCUGAAGGGGCUGAGCUAAAUAUGGAAACACAGUGCACCAAGCAAGUUUUGUUGUUUGUUUCUGCAAAAUUUUUAAACCAGGGUUUACCAUUUCUUCGUCAUUUAUCUAAUUGACACCGUAGGAAUAACGAAAAGGCGUAGGAGAGAGAUCGAGGUUGAGAA